rnacentral:rRNA from 1 species
UUAAACGAAGCAGAGCGUACGGUGGAUGUCUUGGCAUAUAGAGCAGAAGAAGGACGCAGAAAACGGCGAAACGCCUCGGGGAGUCGUACACAGACAACGAUCCGGGGGUAUCCGAAUGGGGAAACCCAGUCAUGCGGAAAUGCGUGGCUAUCCACAACUGAAUACAUAGGUUGCGAGAAGAAAACCCAGGGAAUUGAAACAUCUCAGUACCUGGAGGAGAAGAAAACAAAAGUGAUUCCGAAAGUAGUGGCGAGCGAAAUCGGAGCAGCCCAAACCAGUCUUGAACUGGGGUAGUAGGACCAGAAAAAGCAACAUCUGAGAGAUAGUCGAAUGAGAUUGAAAGCUCAGUCAGAGAAGGUGCAAACCCUGUAGACGAAAUUUCGAAGAGUGCGACUGGAAUCCUGAGUACGUCGGGGCACGUGGAACCCUGACGGAAGCAACCGGGACCAUCCGGUAAGGCUAAAUACUCCUAUAUGACCGAUAGUGAACCAGUACCAUGAGGGAAAGAUGAAAAGAACCGCGGGAGCGGAGUGAAAUAGAACCUGAAACCGUAUGCUUACAAAAAGUCAGAGCACAUUAAAGUGUGAUGGCGUGCCUUUUGUAGAAUGAACCGGCGAGUUAUCUUAUCGUGCGAGGUUAAGUAGACAAUACGGAGCCGAAGCGAAAGCGAAUCUUAAGAGGGUGGCAAGUACGAUGAGAUAGACCCGAAGCCGUAGUGAUCUAGUCAUGAGCAGGUUGAAGGCUGGGUGAAUCCAGCUGGAGGACCGAACCGACCCCCGUUGAAACGUUGGCGGAUGACUUGUGACUAGCGGAGAAAUUCCAAUCGAACACGGCGAUAGCUGGUUCUCCCCGAAAUAGCUUUAGGGCUAGCGUUGAACGAAUCUACCCGGAGGUAGAGCACUGAAAAUAUGCGGGCGGCACCUAGCCGUACCAAAUGUUAUCAAACUCCGAAUGCCGGGCAAGAAUAUUCAGCAGUCAGACUGUGGGUGAUAAGGUCCAUGGUCAAAAGGGAAACAGCCCAGAUCAUCAGAUAAGGUCCCAGAAUCUACGCCAAGUGGAAAAGGAUGUGGAGACGCGCAAACAGCUAGGAGGUUAGCUCAGAAGCAGCUAUCCUUGAAAGAGUGCGUAACAGCUCACUAGUCGAGUAUCUCUGCGCCGAAAAUUAACCGGGGCUAAGCGUAGUACCGAAUCUAUGGAUUUGUGCAGAAAUGUAUAAGUGGUAGGGGAGCGUUCCAAACAGCAUAGAAGGCAUACCGAAAGGAGUGCUGGAGCGUUUGGAAGUGAGAAUGCCGGUGUGAGUAGCGAGAUGCAGGUGAGAAUCCUGCACACCGAUAGACCAAGGUUUCCAGGGGAAGGUUCGUCCGCCCUGGGUAAGUCGGGACCUAAGACGAGGCAGAAAUGCGUAGCCGAUGGACAACUGGUUUAUAUUCCAGUACCCGCGAUACAACUGAAGGAGUGACGGAAAAGGUUACCUCGAGCCCUUAAUGGAUUGGGCAGGACAGAGAGGAGCAGGCAGCAGGCAAAUCCGCUGCAGGAUGCAGAGCUCUGGACCGAAUGAACGAGCGAUCAAGUAGUGAAGAGAGAGAUACCAGUUCCCGAGAAAAGCUUCUAAGGCUAAUUGUAUAGCGGCCCGUACCAAAACCGACACAGGUGGUCAAGGCGAGUAGCCUGAGGUGAGCGAGAGAACUGUUGCCAAGGAACUCGGCAAACUGACCCCGUACGUUAGCAAUAAGGGGUGCUCGAAAGAGCCGCAGUGAAUAGGCCCUAGCAACUGUUUAACUAAAACAUAGCUCUCUGCCAAGCCGCAAGGCGAAGUAUAGGGGGUGACACCUGCCCGGUGCUGGAAGGUCAAGGGGAUUUGUCAGCGCAAGCGAAGCAUUGAACCGAAGCCCCAGUGAACGGCGGCCGUAACUAUAACGGUCCUAAGGUAGCGAAAUUCCUUGUCAGGUAAG